GCGGUCCGCCUGCCGGGAGGGGGCGCUUGGCGGGGCGGCGGGGCGGGGCUCUCACCGGUACGAGCUCGGCCGCCCGUCCAAUCAGAGGCGCCGCGCCGUCCGCGGGAAUUUGAAGUGCCUGACUGGGUGGCCGGGAGACGGAGUCUCGGGGUCGCGUGCACCUGGGCGGCCAGGGAGGCUCCAGUGCCCGGGAGAAAGGCAAGAAAACUGAGGCACAGAGAGAUUGUCACACAGCCAGUUUCUUUCAAAAUGAAGAUUCACGCAGUGAUUGUAACUGUCUUGAUGAGCCAGGUUGUAGUUUACAAAGUUUUAUUCCAGAAGGAAAAAAGCCACUUCACCUAGAAAUUUUGCAAACAAAUCAACUUUUACUCUGUGAGUAAUCCAGGGCCUAUCAAGACUACAUUUUAGUUGACUGCAAGGCCUCUGAGGCACGGGAAUUCACAGCUGAGUU
rnacentral:lncRNA from 1 species